UACGGAGGGGGCGAGCGUUGUCCGAAGUUACUGGGCGUAAAGCGCGCGUAGGCGGGUCGGUAAGUCCGCUGUGAAAGCCCGGAGCUUAACUCCGGAGGGUCGGUGGAUACUGCCAGUCUUGAAGGUGCUAGGGGGAGAUGGAAUUACCGGUGUAGCGGUGAAAUGCGUAGAUAUCGGAAGGAACAUCAGUGGCGAAAGCGACUUCCUGGACCAGUACCGACGUUCAGGCACGAAAGCGUGGGGAACAAACAGG
rnacentral:rRNA from 1 species